rnacentral:rRNA from 1 species
AACUAACAAGGAUUCCCCCAGUAACGGCGAGUGAAGUGGGAAGAGCCCAGCACCGAAUCCCCCGCCCCGCGGCGAGGUGAACUGUGGUGUUUGGGAGAGCCUCUGGAGUGUGUGGCCGGCGUCCGAGUCCUCCUGAUUGGGGCUUCGCCCGGAGCGGGUGUCAGGCCUCUACGGCCCCGGCCUCCACUUCUCUGAGCCUCCCCGGAGUCGGGUUGUUUGAGAAUGCAGCCCAAAGCGGGUGGUAAACUCCAUCUAAGGCUAAAUACCGACACGAGUCCGAUAGCGGACAAGUA